rnacentral:tRNA from 1 species
GGAGGUGUAGCUCAAUGGUACAGCAUUUCCCUAAUAGGCAGGAGUGCCUGGGUUGGAUUCCCAGCACUACAA